GGUCAUCAAAAGGUCUCAGGGCCUGGAUGAGAUUUUGGCCCGUUUGGACCCUCAGACUGCCAGCAACCACUUUGCAGCCAUUCAGCGCUGGAAAACAAAGAGAGACGUGGCCUGUCCACGGAGAGGAGCGUUCCUGCUGUUUUCUCAGAAGAAGCUGGCAAAGCUAAAACAGCUUGAACUCGAAGCUCCGCCUGGUGCCACCAGAGAUCCGGCGGUACUGCAGCUCGUACAGCAGUGGCUCGACCUGGACGAAGCCGGCAGAUCGAAAUACUGCAGGAAGUCCUCCCGCUGCCCUGAACCCUCGCUGGGCUUGUUAAGGCCUGAUGUCUGCUUUGGAUCAGUGUCUGAAAACUUCCACAGCAUCACAGAGAAAUACCUGCAGAGCAGAGGCAGCGAGAGCGAAGACAGCGUGGACAC